UACACCAAGGUCCGCUUGGUAUUUGUCCCUCGUACUAUAUAUUUCUACAAGCGACCCUACUAUCGUCAAAUUAAUUUCUUCAAUUCUUUUAAGGUAUUUAAACCGAUACAAAUUUGUACCGGCUCAUUUUUCCAUUGCCACGUAAAUGAGAAACAAUAGACAAUAUCUGAUAAAUUAUUGAGUUUGUGUGUAGGCCGUUAGAUAUACGGCCCCUACAUCGGGAAGAAAGCUAUAGUAAAAUAAUACCUGGGAAAUAAAACUGUAGCCACACUACCUUGGAGAUCAGAACUGGCUCGCAACCGCCGACAGUAUCCUGAUGCAUCAGAAGUAUGAGUUAUACAAGAUAGUCCUAGACUUCCCAAUAGCGCUAGACUUCCCAUAACUACCGGUAACAACAAGUUCUGCAAAGAUUGGGAACCUCCCUUGAGAACUGUGUGACAGGAAGAUUUAAAGCUGAGUACCUUUUUUUUUAUCUUUAUACUUUUUUUACCGGUAACCAGCAGGGUCUCGGUCACAGUUUUGAAAAGUUAAUUUUGUUGCCUGUAAAUAAUAAUACCUAGAAUGAUUUUUGUUAUUUUUUUAUUUUAAUAAAUAUACUGUAUUUACCAUGA
rnacentral:lncRNA from 1 species